UAAAUAGUAAUACGAAUGCGUUAUAAAGAUCACUUGCUCUGUUUCUCGACAAUUGCUCUGCCAUUGCACCUCGAUCUCUUGCUCUUUCUCAACAUUUGCCUCUUGCUGCUGCUCCUCUUCCUCUUCCUCUUUCUCCAAACAUAUACGGAUCCAAAAAUGCCCAUUCUUGAUCAUGAUCAACUGAGAAACAUGCAUGCUGUACUUACCCUCGUAGUCCCUGCUCUGUUCAACUUGGUCACCGUGAAGUUC